rnacentral:lncRNA from 1 species
GGAGAAUCACUUGAACCUGGGAGGCAGGGGUUGCAGUGAGCCGAGAUCGUACCACUGCACCCCAGCCUGGGCGACAAGUGAAACUCCAUCUAAAAAAAGAAAAAGAAAAGAAAUUUAAGGGACCCUAGAAUCAGGGGCAAAGCCUGUAUUCAGAGAUGGUGGAACUGAGGCCCAGACAGGAGAGAGGAGCACUGGUCCCUGCGGGUGGACCCAGGCUUGGGGGUGUCUGGCCACCUGGGCACGGCAGCCACGGGGACAAAGUCCAUGGGGAGGCAGGGGUGUGGUCUGUGGACAGAAGGUGAACCCUGAGGGGACAGUGUCUGGAGAGGGUGGCCAGCCUUGUGCAGACACACUGCGAAGACCUCUGCACCCUUCUCUCUGCUGUGCCACAGGUGGGGUGAGAACGACAGGGCCAACCUCCCAGCUGCAAACACAAGGACACUGAGAUGCACAGAAAGGAGAGUCCACGCUGAAGAAACCCACGUUGAGGGGCCUCUUCUCCCUCCGUUCCCAGCUCGGUGAUGGUGAAGGUCACCAGGUUUGUGGCGAUUGUUAUGGCAGCCUCAGGAAACUCCUACAAGGAAGUGAGUUACGCUCACGGCAGAAAGUGCUACAGCAAACCAAGGCAGAACAAAAACAGACGAAACCUAAUACAGACCGGACUAAGUAGAAGACUGUGUUUGGG